AAGUCGUAACAAGGUUUCCGUAGGUGAACCUGCGGAAGGAUCAUUAUUGAAAUAAAUUUGAUAUGGUUGUUGCUGGUUCUUAGGAGCAUGUGCACACCUGUCACCUUUUACCUUUCCACCUGUGCACAUAUUGUAGGCUUGGAAAACCCUCGCUCUCAGCGGAUGCAAGGAUUGCUGUGUGUGUCUAACCAAGGCCAGCUCUCCUUAAAUUUCCAGGUCUAUGUCCUUUUUAUAUACCCCAAUAGAAUGUUUACAGAAUGUUGUCAAUGGGCUUUAAACUGCCUAUAAAACACAAUACAACUUUCAGCAACGGAUCUCUUGGCUCUC
rnacentral:misc_RNA from 1 species